GAUUCUGUACACUUGUCUCUCAAAUUUUAUUCUCAAGUUUGGACACUUAAAAAUGAUCAACAUUUAGUCUAGUGAUGGUGGCUGUCCGGAAAAUGGCUGCCACAUCAGAAGGUGAUAAUAGAAUUUGGAAUUUGGUUAUGUGCCAUUUGAAGAAAAUUAGGUGUUCAUUUUUUUUUUCAGAAACAGCUAGCUUUGUCCUUCAAUGAUGUUACAUAAUAUGAUCUUCAUCUAUGAACUUUGGUACUAAUAAUACCAGGUUUGGUUGCAUUCAACUUAGACAAUUAUUACAAGGAGGUGACAUUGAAUUGCCAUCUUUGUUAUGAGGAAAAGUGGGAUAUAAGACUCAGUAUUGGCAUUCAUUUACUGUAGGGAAUUCACUAAGCCUUAACCCAUUGUCAUAAUUUUCCAUCCAAAUCAGGUUGAGCUAUUGAGAAUUGUCUUUUUAAAUUAGUGAAGAACAUGUAAAGUUUGUCUGGAAGUGAUGUCAGCCUUUUCUUUUGUUAUGCUUCUCCUAUGUUUUGCUUGUUAUCUACUCCACAUGGGGCCGUGGACAGCACUAUAAUAAUGCCUACUGAAUCCUACAUUCUCAUUGUUUCUUUCCUUGAAGGGUGGAUGGAAUUGAGAAGGUAAUAGAAGAAAGUUAGGGUCCCAUAUGUGCCUGCAAAAUACUUAAAUGCCAAUGGCUUGGCUUGGAUCAAAUUGGAUGAGAAAUACACCGAUGCCUAAUCUGAAAUCUUUUCCUUUUAAAUGUGUUGUGCCUUAUUGAGGUUAAUCAGAUGGUAUCAUACCAACACUGGAUCCACUGUUUUUGCUCUUAUUUUACCUUCAUUUUUAUGUAUAGCUAAUCUUAUGCAUCUGGAAGGGAAAAUCACCUAAGUUCUGACUGUAAUUUUC
rnacentral:misc_RNA from 1 species